rnacentral:rRNA from 1 species
AAAAAAAUUUAAGCAGGGGGACACCCAGAAAGCGCAUGACCCGGGCGUUGGUUGACUCGGGCGUAAGGGACCGAAAAAUAGUAGGGAAGCAUGUGUGGACUGGGGCGAGAAAAGCCCUGUGGAUAUCCAAGGUGCCCGUACCGCAAACCGACACAGGUAGGUAGGAAGAGAAUUCUAAGGCCAACGGGAGAAGGGUUGUUAAGGAACUCGGCAAGUUGACCCCGUAACUUAGGGAGAAGGGGUGCUCAUGCAAGUGAGCCGCAGAGAAUAGGUCCAGGCGACUGUUUAGCAAAAACACAGCUCUAUGCUAAAUCGAAAGAUGACGUAUAUGGGGUGACACCUGCCCGGUGCUGGAAGGUUAAGAGGAGAUGUGAGAGCAUUGAAUUGAAGCCCCAGUAAACGGCGGCCGUAACAAUAACGGUCCUAAGGUAGCGAAAUUCCUUGUCAGGUAAGUUCUGACCCGCACGAAUGGUGUAACGAUCUGGACACUGUCUCAACAGCCCGCCCGGCGAAAUUGUAGUACCGGUGAAGAUGCCGGUUACCCGCGACAAGACGGAAAGACCCCAUGGAGCUUUACUGUAGCUUAAUAUUGGAUUUUGGUAUUUCAUGUAUAGGAUAGGUGGGAGACUGGGAAGCGAGUACGCCAGUAUUCGUGGAGUCGCUGUUGGAAUACCACUCUUGAGAUGCUGAAAUUCUAACCUGCGCCUGUGAAUCCAGGCGGGGGACAUUGUUAGGUGGGCAGUUUGACUGGGGCGGUCGCCUCCAAAAAGGUAACGGAGGCGCUCAAAGGUUGGCUCAGCACGGACGGAAACCGUGCAUUAGAGUGUAAACGCAAAAGCCAGCCUAACUGCGAGACUGACGGGUCGAGCAGUAACGAAAGUUGGAGUUAGUGAUCCGGUGGUAUGUGAGUGGAAAUGCCAUCGCUCAACGGAUAAAAGCUACCCUGGGGAUAACAGGCUGAUCUCCCCCAAGAGUCCACAUCGUCGGGGAGGUUUGGCACCUCGAUGUCGGCUCAUCGCAUCCUGGGGCUGUAUUCGGUCCCAAGGGUUUGGCUGUUCGCCAAUUAAAGCGGUACGCGAGCUGGGUUCAGAACGUCGUGAGACAGUUCGGUCCCUAUCUGUCGUGGGCGCAGGAUAUUUGAGAGGAGCUGUCCCUAGUACGAGAGGACCGGGAUGGACGCACCUCUGGUGCACCAGUUGUCACGCCAGUGGCACAGCUGGGCAGCUAAGUGCGGAACGGAUAAACGCUGAAGGCAUCUAAGCGUGAAGCCGACCUCAAGAUAAGAUAUCCCACUGAGAUAAUCAGGUAAGACCCCUUGAAGACUACAAGGUUGAUAGGCCUCAGGUGUAAGCAUGGCGACAUGUUCAGCCAGGAGGUACUAAUCGGUCGAGGGCUUGACC